ensembl:lncRNA
GGGCUCAGCCUGGAAGUCGAGCCCCCUGGCUGCAGUCUGGCUGUGCUGGUCCUGCUGUGUGACCUGACUUAGGUUGCUUCCCUUCCCUGGUCCUUGUUUUCUUCUCCUGUUUUUGCGCAAACCUGCUAAAUGGUAAAAUGGCGACCGAUGUUUUCUGUGGUCUCUUCAAGCUUGGAAACCAUGUGGUCUGGGGCCUGGAUGACGUCAGGUCACUAGCACAGACACAGCCCAACGCAAACAGCGGCUUCUGUUCCUUGUGAAAUGGAAGCCGCCUCCUGUCAGCACAUAUACUCACUCAGCAAGUGUUUAUUAGGUGCCCACUAUGUGCCACUGUGAACUUGAGAGUUUGAGUGUUUGUAGGAUCUGGAAAAACCAUCUGAUGUCUUUAGAUUUACUCUUUCAAUGAAGAGAGGACAGACGAGUAGGUCUGUGCGGUCAUGGCCCCACCUACUCUUUAAGGACUGCUCUUUUUCCUCCACCCCCUCCCUCGGAUGCCCUGAUUCAGGUCGCUGUCCUUCAGAUGACCUUCCUGAGGAUGAAUGUCCAAAUGUCCGGAGAUGUGGGUCAGCAUGGCUGGUGCCUGAGCCCGGCCCCGCUGCUCUCUGAGCAUCCAUCACGUCCCCCCACAGAAGAGCAGAUCAAGGGGCUCCCUGGCAGUUGCUUUUGCUCCCGAAGAGAUUUGCUGCAGCGAGGAUGCAGCGAGGCCCUUCAAGUGAACAUCUGGGCUCGCUCCUCCUGUGUCAAGGAGCCCCACCAUGGCGCCCUUCCUCUGCCCUUGGUGGCCUCUGGUGUCUGCACCAAGCCCUCCUGGCCCUCCUGGGCUUGGAGGGGUCAAGGGGCUGGUCCAGGUGAUGCAGGCUGUGGGUGGAGCUGGGGUGAGGACCUGUCUCUGGAUUCCUACAUCAGAAAGUCACUCUAGUAAGCAAUUUUUUUUAAUGGUCUCGAAUGGGUUUAAUAGGAAAGAAGUCACAAAGGCAAUCAAUAAGGCCCUGAAGGCUCAGUGGGUUAAGGAUCUGGUGUUCUCACUGCUCUGGCUCUGGUCACUGCUGUGGUGUAGGUUCCAUCCCAGAAACUUCUACAUGCUGCAGGUGCAGCCAAAAGAAAACAAAAUGAGGCCCAGCUGCAGGCUACAGCAGGGCAGGGUUGAUUGGCCUGUGUUUAGUUAGCUAUGCUUGUGGCGUGGGGAGGGUGGAUGUUUUCUGCCCCCCGUGGGCUUGCCGUGGGGGGUGGGAGGAAUGACAUUUUAUUAUCAUCUUUAUCCCAGAAAGAAUAGGUGGGGGUGAGAUUCAGGUAGGACUUUCCUUUCCGAAGUGGGAGAGCUCACGGUGAUUUUACGAUUAUUCUCUCUCCUUCUGAGCCCCUCCCACCUCCCCACCCAGCCUUACAGCCAAUUAGGUUAGACGAGCUCAAGGAAGCGCAGAGAAAAAAAGGAUGUUUUUUGUAGCUCACAAUACGGUUUCAGUACCAUACUAGAUUCUGUCCCCUUCCGGCCAUGUGGCCGCGGAAAUCACAAGAGCCCGUGUAACUGAGGGACCGUUUCCUAUCGUUGGAGUCAGAACCAUUUUUGGAGUCAUUGCUCGGUUUUCAAGUUCAUGCUUUCUGCCUCCCAGCCAUGAAAACUUCUAGCCUCUUCUGGCAUCAUUUUCUCCCGAGAGGAGCAGCUUGACCCUGUGCCCUGGUCCUGCUCUCUCUCCUCAGCAUCAGGGAAGCAUCUGGGGACCCAGGAGAAAGGGCGCCAGGGACAGAAUGAGGUCAUAGACACUUCUGGCACCAGGGUGUCUAUUCCAGCUAGGGCUCCUUGGGCUGCCACCCUGGCAAGAGGGCUGUGCAGGAUGCCUGCACAACUUUGGGGUGGGCGGUGAGGUGGACUGCCUUGGAGCCAGUCCUGAAAUUCCUCAGAGCCGCUGACGCCUCUUGGGCUGUGAUCCCGUGCUGCCCUGCACCUGCAGUCUUGAGUGGGUUCUCUGGCAGGAGGUCGAGGAGCUGGCCUGGCCCAGGGCCAGGUGGGUUGGGCAACCCCCCAAGAGGCGCUUUAUGGUCUCGGCCUCUGUGGUCCCCUUGAACCGUUCCUGUGAAGGCAGGUUGGGGGCCUUGGGAAAUGGAUCCUGCUGAACAACCACUGGCUUGUGGGCUGGAGGGAUCAUCUAAAGGCGCAAGGCCCGGCUGGGGACGGGAUCCUAGGCUGUGCGCGCAUUAAUUCGCCAGGACCAGCUGAGUGCAGGAGCAGCAAGGGCUGGGGCAGCCCCGGAAAAUGUGCGACAGUGGUGACAAAGCCCGAAGUGGGGAGUGACAUGGGCGAGGGCUCACACUCUGAGUCCAGCACCGGAUGCCCCCCCCGCCCCCACCCCAGCUUCCCAGAGGGAAUGGUUUUAGCACCAGCACUGCUCUCGGACCGUCUGAGAACAAAUUAGGUGCCCGAAGGUUGAGACCAGGCCGAUCAGACCACAAGUCUGCUGUGCUCCCGUGUCAGCACGGUUCGCGUUUUCAUCAAGACGGGAAGCAGGAUGCAGGCCCUGAGAGCUCUUUGCAUCCACCCUGAAAGCAAACUUUUUCCUAGAGAACCCAGUCCCCGAGUGGGGACUCCACCCUGCUCCACCUGGACCCUCCCCACACCCCACUCCGCUGCAAAUGCUGGUCCCACGACUCCAAAGGUCAACUGCUCCCUUUCCUCCUCGUUCCCAGUUAUGGGGUUUGUGGUUUCAGGGACGAUGGAGGCUCAAGCCCCAGGGUAACAGGCAUGGUGGUUCCUCACCCGGGAGACACGCUGGGGGUUGACUGAAGCCGACACAGGCACAGCCAGCUGCCUGUUUUUCCAGAGGCGCCGUGAUGGGGUGUUCGUGUCAAUAUCACCGGCUGAAAGACAUCCCGUGUUUUCUAAUAGGCGGUUCUGUUCUGAGCUCUGGAGGAGCUCAAGCUGUCAUCAGGAGUGUGAGAUGGAGUCACUUAGGGCUAAGAGUGUAUUCCAACCAUGUACAGGGAACAAAGAAAUAAGCAGACAGAGAAAUAACUUCCUGGUGCACAAGCCUUAGGGGUUAGGACUCCAGUGGGCUGUGCUCCCUGGCUCUUUCCUGGAGGCAGUUGAGAGCUUGGGCUGCAUGCAGCGGGCUUGGCCUUGAGCAGCAGGACCAUCCGGGCAGACAGAAGGGUGGGGCCAGAGGGGCUGAGCCAAGGCCUCCAGAGGCAGCCUGGAAGUCCUCCUGGGCUGGGAUCCAGGGCUCACUCUCACAGACUGUUCCACUGAGCUGGAUGGGUCUUCUGCUCUGGCCCCUGGGAGCCCUCACUGGCCCUGGACCAGCCUCUUGGAUUCCAGGCCCAGGCAUGGUUGUUGCAUCCUGCAGAGGCUGGGCCAUGGUAUCUGCUCACCCCUGCCCUUGUGCUGGGGUUCACGCGUGAGUCCGUGGACCCACCCCAAGGCCCGGGGCGCUCAGGGCGGAUGCAGACCAGACAAAGUGUCGGAGUCUCUUUGAGAACCCCCUUCCAGGCAAUCAGGCCCUUGCCAGGUGGAACCACUCUGCUUUUACAUGGGUAGUUUCCGAAUGUGGCCGUGAUGAAUUGUGCUGUGGCAGGGCCUUGACAGUGAAAAAUGGGGCGGUGCGAUGGGGCGUGCCAGCACGGGGUCCCUGCUGAGCCGGUGCCUGGAAGCCACCGGAAGCAGUGGGUGUCUCUGCAUCCCCAGAGGCAAAGCGGACCGAUGUGCCCGCCUGUCCUCAGCUUCUCUGUCCCUCUCUGUCCCUGCACACACAUGGCAUUUUGGCAUCUCCCUCUGCCUCUGCAGACUGCAUGGGCCGUCCACCUGCCCGUGUCUCUCUCUCCCUUUCCUCCUUUCUCUUUCCUUCCUUCUUAUUAGAUGGGUUUGUUAGAAUCAAACCCGGUCUGUCGGGCGAGAGGGAGCAGGGGAAGGAGAGAGGAGCACCAAGGGCAUGAGGGAAAUUUUGGGAAGACGGAGUGUUCACUGUCUUGAUCUGGUGAUGAUUUUAUAGGUGCAGACACCUGUCCGUAUUUAUCCCGGAUCCACCCGAAGUGUGUGCAGCUUUUUCUAAGCCCGUUCUACUCCAAUUAAGCUGUUUUUUUUUUUUUUUUUUUUUUAAACCUCACCCAUUCGGAGGAGCGCAAUGAGGAAAUGUUUUUGAAUAUUUAACUUUUAGAAAAACCUGUGUUCUACUCCCCUAUAAACCAGAGGAAGGGAGUUCCCAUCGUGGCUCAGUGCUUAACGAAUCUGACUAGGAACCAUGAGGGAUCGAACCUGCAGCCUCGUGGAUACUAGUCAGGCUCAUUAGCACUGAGCUGCAAUGGGAACUCCUCAAAGAUCAUUCUGAACAGCAUCCACUAUGGCUGUUUGGAGAGCAGUUGAGUCUGCAUGACAGGUCUGUGAAAUAGCUCCCUUUUCUGUCCCCAGAGACUUGGAGAGGAGAAGCACAGUGACCUGCCCAAGGCCACGCAGCAUGCAUGUCAGUUGCAGAUUCUGUGUCAUACCUGGGCCUCCGGAGUGUGACCUCCCCUCUACCACCAAUCAUGGGAGGGGACAAAGAUGCCACGCAGAACAAUCAGCAGAGUGUUGGAAAUUGCCUACUCCUACCCUUAGGCUUACAUUUGAGUUUGCAGAGUUGGUUUCUGUGCCUCUUGCUCACAGACACUGCCGCUUUGCCUGUCUCAGGCAUGUCCCCAUUCCCAGUGUUGCGCCAUUGUGCUGGGGAAGGGGCUCCUUAGCAUCCCUUUGGCCAGUUGUUGUCUGGCUGGCUGUUGAGAGAAGCUGCCAAAGGGCCCUGGGAUGGAGCUGGUAUUGUGUGGCUGGCUAUGCAGCAAAGGGGACACCAGGAGAGAGAUUAUGUCUCGGUUUGGCCUCCCCAGUGAGUCUAGGAUUUCUCAAAAGAGACUCUCUUUAAAAAAAGUCAAAUUCACUCAGAUCUUGGCUUCCAAGUUUUUGGAAUGUCCAGGUGGAAUUUUCGUGGCAAUUUCUAAGAUCCUAGAGAUGUAUGUGGGCCAGAAAUGCUGGGUUGCAUUUUUUUCCCACCACUAUCAUUUCUCUAUCAUCCUGGUUGGCAUUUAUUGGCCUCGUGCUGAGGUGUUUGAAGGAGGUCUAGCUGUGUCUAUUGUUUAGUGUGUUCUUGUGAAUAUUAGGCAAAAGUCUAGUUCCCUUGGGAUGGAGGGGUUAUACGGAAGUUCCAGUCGAGAUACAGGCUCUGACACAGGGGAAUUUCUCCUCUGACUCUAAACCCAUAGAAAUGUUGGGUUAGAUCUCAUAGCCACAAAAAUAGAAUUGAAUUCAAAGGUGAGACUGGGAGGCUUCCAGGUGUCAGACACUGAAGAUGAAAUUCAGAAUGGAGUAGGCCUGCCAGGGUUUUCACAGUAAAUCCCUUAAGGGCUGAGUUCUCACAGGUGCCGGGGAGGCAGCACUGGAUCCCCUGCGUGAAGCUGGGACUGAGGGGGAGCCAUCCUUUCUGUCAAUAAAAAUUAGACAGUCCUGUCUGUUGGCCCUGGGGCAUGGAAUGCUCCCACCCCAACCUGUAGCUCUAAAGAGAGUUUCCUACAAGACAGUGGGAAAGCAAACCGACAACGAUAUGGAUAUGAGACCAAAUCAUGCACUUUCUGUGAAAGGCGGAAACCCUGAACUGAAGAUUGAACAUAAAUUUGGUCCGAAACUAGUGGGACCCCCCGUCUUUGUCGAGCAUAAGUGUGAAACUGCUGGUGGAGAUGCUUCCUCGGAUGGGGCACGUGUGGGACUCCCAUGGAACAAAAACUGGGAAACUCCCAAUGCAGAUAUGCUCUUAGGCAAAAAUUAUAAAGCAAACGAGAAAAUCCACCACCACAGGAGAUGAUCAGCAGAUACUCUGAAAGGAACUGUAGAUAACAGAGCAAUCUGGGAAGAAGAUUAGACCAAAUAGGUUUGCAAUGUUUGGAGAGAUGAAUUAAAAAGUAACAUCAGGAGUUCCCGUCGUGGCGCAGUGGUUAACGAAUCCGACUAGGAACCAUGAGGUUGCGGGUUCGGUCCCUGCCCUUGCUCGGUGGGUUAACGAUCCGGCGUUGCCUUGAGCUGUGGUGUAGGUUGCAGAUGCGGCUCGGAUCCCCCGUUGCUGUGGCUCUGGCGUAGGCCGGGGGCUACAGCUCCAAUUCAACCCCUAGCCUGGGAAUCUCCAUAUGCCACGGGAGCAGCCCAAAGAAAUAGCAACAACAACAACAAGAAAAGACAAAAGACAAAAAAAAAAAAAAAAAAAAAAAA